UGGGGAGAAGACAUUGUGUCUUCGAGUCGUUGAUUUCACACUGCCGAGAAAAGCCUCUAGAUAGAAAAUAGGUGCCCGUACCGCAAACCGACACAGGUAGUCAAGAUGAGAAUUCUAAGGUGAGCGAGCGAACUCUCGUUAAGGAACUCGGCAAAAUGACCCCGUAACUUCGGGAGAAGGGGUGCUCUUUAGGGUUAACGCCCAGAAGAGCCGCAGUGAAUAGGCCCAAGCGACUGUUUAUCAAAAACACAGGUCUCUGCUAAACCGUAAGGUGAUGUAUAGGGGCUGACGCCUGCCCGGUGCUGGAAGGUUAAGAGGAGUGGUUAGCUUCUGCGAAGCUACGAAUCGAAGCCCCAGUAAACGGCGGCCGUAACUAUAACGGUCCUAAGGUAGCGAAAUUCCUUGUCGGGUAAGUUCCGACCCGCACGAAAGGCGUAACGAUUUGGGCACUGUCUCAACGAGAGACUCGGUGAAAUCAUAGUACCUGUGAAGAUGCAGGUUACCCGCGACAGGACGGAAAGACCCCGUGGAGCUUUACUGUAGCCUGAUAUUGAAAUUCGGCACAGCUUGUACAGGAUAGGUAGGAGCCUUUGAAACGUGAGCGCUAGCUUACGUGGAGGCGCUGGUGGGAUACUACCCUAGCUGUGUUGGCUUUCUAACCCGCACCACUUAUC
rnacentral:rRNA from 1 species